rnacentral:lncRNA from 1 species
GUUAUCUCGCUGUGGGUUCGUAGGACCGAGCGAGUUGGCUCCUCGUGGGAGUUUCCUCGCUGCGGGUCGUAGGAUGGAGCGAGUGGUAUCCUCGUAGGAGUUAUCUCGCUAUGGGUUCGUGGACCCGAGGGAGUUGACUCCUCGUGGGAGUUGUCUCGCAACGGGUUAUAUGACUGAGCAAGUUAUCUCCUCGUGGGAGUUGUCUUGCUGCCGGUUGUAGUACCGAGCGAGUUGGCUCCUCGUGGGAGUAAUCUCGCUGCGGGUCAUAGGAUGGAGCGAGUGGUCUCCUCGUAGGAGUUAUCUCGCUGUGGGUUCGUAGGACCGAGCGAGUUGGCUCCUCGUGGGAGU